rnacentral:tRNA from 1 species
GCUGUGGCUAAAUGGUAGAGCAUCUGCCUUGUAUGCAAAAGGUCCUAGGUUCAAUUCUCAGUGUGUGUG